GACGAACGCUGGCGGCGUGCUUAACACAUGCAAGUCGAACGGAAAGGCCCUGCUUUUGUGGGGUGCUCGAGUGGCGAACGGGUGAGUAACACGUGAGUAACCUGCCCUUGACUUUGGGAUAACUUCAGGAAACUGGGGCUAAUACCGGAUAGGAGCUCCUGCUGCAUGGUGGGGGUUGGAAAGUUUCGGCGGUUGGGGAUGGACUCGCGGCUUAUCAGCUUGUUGGUGGGGUAGUGGCUUACCAAGGCUUUGACGGGUAGCCGGCCUGAGAGGGUGACCGGCAACAUGGGGACUGAGAUACGGCCCAGACUGCUACGGGAGGCAGCAGGGGGGAAUAUUGCACAAUGGGCGGAAGCCUGAGGCAGCAACGCCGCGUGCGGGAUGACGGCCUUCGGGUUGUAAACCGCUUUCGCCGGUGACGAAGCGUGAGUGACGGUAAUGGGUAAAGAAGCACCGGCUAACUACGUG
rnacentral:rRNA from 1 species